UGUCAGCAUUUUCGAACAUUAAACGACAUUAAUUAUUAAAUUGUUAUAAGUGAAAGUCAUAUUUUAAGUUAUUUAGAACUAAUUUUGAAUUCAAAGUUAAUGUGUAAAUGGUCAUUAAAAUAAUUCUGGUUUGCUCCAAAGAACUUAAAUUCGAAAAUGCAAAAAUAUAAUAUUUUGAAUAAUGGAUUCGGAAUGCAAAAACCAGCUACCAAACACGAAAAAAUCGAGUUCAAGCAACCUGCACCGAGUUUGGAAAAAUGUUCGGAAUUAGAAACUCGUCUGAGUUGUAUCCGUUUCCCUGCAGGGUUUGCUCGAAUAAGUUAACAUAUUAUAUAAGAGGUAAAAACAAAACAGACUUGCGUGGGCGCGUACAAACAACGCACAUCGAUUCCAUGAGGCAACAGGAGGCACCAUGAAAUAUUGUAGCGCAACAGCGAAGAUAAAUGAGGCAGCGGUUCGGUUUCAUUGCGAGCAAAAAUAAAAAAUAACGUAUUAAAUCGGAGUCGAAUUGCUCAAGUUAUUUCAGAGAGUAGGAUCAGUUCUAUAAAUGUGCUCGCAAACACAGUAUUCCACGAACCAUUGAUAACUGUCAAAUUAAGCAAUGACUGCUGUCAAUUUUAUACGAGACUCUUAAUUUGUAAAUAAAGCGAACGCUCGACAAGGUUUCGUACUUAACAAAAACAACAGCUAAUAGAACUUAGAACAUGUGGAAUAUAUAUUUCUGUAAACAAUUAAAUGCAAAUAUAUAAAUGUAUAAGUAAUAAAAUAACUCGCAAACCAAAGUAUGUCAAUAACAUUUUCUGUCAUUGAGUACUUUCCUUUUUCUACCCGCACCAGCUUCUCUAAACAUAUUAGUCCAAAGCG